rnacentral:lncRNA from 1 species
AGUAUAUAUUCCAGAAAGUUAAAUAUAUAUAUACAGUAUAUAGACUGUACGAUUGAUGACAAUCCGAAACAAUAAGCCAAUUUCUUCAGCAAAAUCUGAUGAAGUCAAUCCGAAUAAACUUACAAUCCACUCGCACUUUUCCGGAAGGCUUCACUUAAUUCUGUUACCUCAGGGGUUUGUGGGAAUGCUGACAGUCCAAUCCCCUGAAUGCACACUUGGGAAUAAGCUUAGAUUCUAUAUACUAGGUCUUGUACUAUUACAUGGAUAGUUUUGCUUGUUCUCCCAAGAGACUUAACCCGCAGCAACUCUCAAGUGACAAUCUCUGACAUCCUGGAAAUUUUUCUUGAGAGAAUUGAUGAAUUUUUCAACUAUUGAAUCUAAUCUUUUAACUAUAGAUGGUCCCUUAGAAAAGUGUUAUGAAAAGAUUCUUUUAGAAGUUGUUGAAUGGGUGUAGAUUUUCUUAUUCCUAUCUUGAAUAUAAAAUUCAAUUACUG